AGACCCGAAACCCGGUGAUCUAGCCAUGGGCAGGUUGAAGGUUGGGUAACACUAACUGGAGGACCGAACCGACUAAUGUUGAAAAAUUAGCGGAUGACCUGUGGCUGGGGGUGAAAGGCCAAUCAAACCGGGAGAUAGCUGGUUCUCCCCGAAAGCUAUUUAGGUAGCGCCUCGUGAAUUCAUCUCCGGGGGUAGAGCACUGUUUCGGCUAGGGGGCCAUCCCGGCUUACCAACCCGAUGCAAACUGCGAAUACCGGAGAAUGUUAUCACGGGAGACACACGGCGGGUGCUAACGUCCGUCGUGAAGAGGGAAACAACCCAGACCGCCAGCUAAGGUCCCAAAGUCAUGGUUAAGUGGGAAACGAUGUGGGAAGGCCCAGACAGCCAGGAUGUUGGCUUAGAAGCAGCCAUCAUUUAAAGAAAGCGUAAUAGCUCACUGGUCGAGUCGGCCUGCGCGGAAGAUGUAACGGGGCUAAACCAUGCACCGAAGCUGCGGCAGCGAACGUAUCACCCAAGACAACUUUACGGAGUUGACGAUUGACGGAGCGAAGCGACGUCAAAGCGUUCAUUAAAGUCGAGUUGGCUUAGGGAUACGUUCGUUGGGUAGGGGAGCGUUCUGUAAGCCUGUGAAGGUGUGUCGUGAGGCAUGCUGGAGGUAUCAGAAGUGCGAAUGCUGACAUAAGUAACGAUAAAGCGGGUGAAAAGCCCGCUCGCCGGAAGACCAAGGGUUCCUGUCCAACGUUAAUCGGGGCAGGGUGAGUCGACCCCUAAGGCGAGGCCGAAAGGCGUAGUCGAUGGGAAACGGGUUAAUAUUCCCGUACUUGGUGUUACUGCGAAGGGGGGACGGAGAAGGCUAUGUUGGCCGGGCGACGGUUGUCCCGGUUUAAGCGUGUAGGUGUGUGUUCCAGGUAAAUCCGGUUCACUUUAACACUGAGGCGUGACGACGAGGCACUACGGUGCUGAAGCAACAAAUGCCCUGCUUCCAGGAAAAGCCUCUAAGCAUCAGGUAACACGAAAUCGUACCCCAAACCGACACAGGUGGUCAGGUAGAGAAUACCAAGGCGCUUGA
rnacentral:rRNA from 1 species